GGGAUUGAUGGGGACGGCCGACACAGGAAGCGACCCUCGGUGGUGCACGGAUGUCAUGAGAUUAGGUUUGCCAUGCAUGGUUAAGAAACCCGAAUCGAUUCGUCUGCCUCUUACAGUUUGAGACUGCUUGAUCGCUAUGCUACACUGAGUAAAGAUGGAACAUGAUGAUGAUAUGAACUUGAUGCUUGAUAUAUAUAUUAUUUGG
rnacentral:lncRNA from 1 species